AACAGACAUAAAAAUAAAGGCAUGGGUUCAAAUAGAAGGUUUACAGCAAAAAAACUCAAAAGUCAAGCCACACCCAACUAAUCUGCGGCAAAAAUGAUACAAAUGAUCAUCAAGAAGUACCUUCAAACUUCAAUUCUUAACAUUGACAACAUGAAAUGUGCAGAUUAUCCUUGUAGUAGUCUUUACAAGUAAGAAAGGUAUCAAAUAUUUCGAAAACAAGUGGCGACUGAUCUAUCUGCCCCUCUUCCAAUUUGUCCCAAGAAUCAUCCGAAUCUAUGUGUUAUGUAAGAAGCUUUCCAGGAGUGCUGCUCCUAAUGACAUAACAGUAACCGGGAAGUUCAGAGGCACAUUCAAUUUCCUUCUCUUCAUUCUUGCCAGUCAUGUGGUUGGAGCAUUUUGGUACUGCUUCUCAGUUCUAAGAGAACUGUAUUGCUGGCAAAGUGCAUGCAAAUUUAACAGUGGAUGCAAGGUGAAUUCAUUUUCUUGUGAGGAUAUCACAAGCAAUGAACGGUUUGUUGAUAAUUUUUGCCCUAUCAAUCCACCUAAUCCAGCAAUAUUCGAUUUUGGUUUAUUUCUUAACGCCCAUCAAUCUGGUGUCACGAGGGUAAAUGAUUUUCCCGUAAAGUUAUUAUGCUGCUUCUUUUGGGGACUACGUGCAUUAAGCUCAUUUGGGUCCAACCUGACUACAAGUAGCUAUGCAUGCGAAAACAUCUUUGCGGCUCUCGUUAGCAUUGCUGGGAUACUUCUAGUUGUUUAUCUUAUCGGCAACUUGCAGGUUUGUUAAAGAUCUUCUCAUCGAAUAUGUAAACCUCUCCUUUUCUAAAUGAGUAACAAAGAAAUGGGUGCAUCAUUAAACAAGUAUAUCUGCGAUCCUCGACUUUAAGAUUAGAGGAGAAAAGGAGGACGAUGCAAAAGAAAGAUGGUGAAAUAGAUUUUUGGAUAGAUUAUUAUAAAUUUCAGAAGAAGAAGGAAAUCAAGGAGUUUGUGAGAGACAAGUUUGGGUGGAAAAAUGAUGUCAAUUUAAAAACACUGCUCGACGUGUUUUCGUCUCCAUUCGUUGAGGAGAUAAAGAAAGAACUUUGCUGCAAUAUCCUAAAGAGGGUUCCAAUGCUUAAAGAAUUUGAAGAGGAGAAGUUAGAAGAGAUGAUGAAGGAUAUGAAGCUAAUGAUUUUUGCAGAGCAUAACUAUAUUAUUCAAGAGGGGGAGCUUGUUGAGCAGAUGCUAUUAUUCACGAAAGGUAUGGGAUUGAAAUUUAGCAAGAGCAUUGGAGCUAGAACAACGAUUAGCACGUUUGGAAAAGGUGAUUUGUUUGGGGAGCAGCUACUGAUUGGGCAGUGAAAAUUCUUCAUGUGUCUGAAAUUCCUUUGUUCGAAUGUACACUCAAGACACAGACCCAAAUGGAAGCUUUCGCUCUUAUAGCUAUUGAUCCACAAUAUCAUAUCAAGUGGGACACAAAUACAUAUAGGUUAAGUUUAAAGUUUAAUUUCUCUUGAAUUUUAUAUUUGUGUUCCUAUGUUAUAGACUAAUUUAAAACGAGCGAGAAAAGUAUUUAUGUGAAACUUGGAUAACCCAACAUCUAUCUAAUUUGGAUAUCUUAUCAAGUUGUCUAA